GUGCCAGCAGCCGCGGUAAUACCGGCAGCACGAGUGAUGACCGCUCUUAUUGGGCCUAAAGCGUCCGUAGCUGGCCACGCAAGUCUAUCGGGAGAUCCGCGCGCUCAACGCGCGGGCGUCCGGUGGAAACUGUGUGGCUUGGGACCGGAAGACCUGAGGGGUACGUCCGGGGUAGGAGUGAAAUCCCGUAAUCCUGGACGGACCACCGGUGGCGAAAGCGCCUCAGGAAGACGGGUCCGACGGUGAGGGACGAAAGCUCGGGUCACGAACCGGAUUAGAUACCCCCGUAGUC
rnacentral:rRNA from 1 species